rnacentral:rRNA from 1 species
UACAUGGGGUGCAAACGUUGCUCGGAAUUAUUGGGCGUAAAGCGCGCGCAGGCGGUUUCUUAAGUCUGAUGUGAAAGCCCACGGCUCAACCGUGGAGGGUCAUUGGAAACUGGGGGACUUGAGUGCAGAAGAGGAAAGCGGAAUUCCACGUGUAGCGGUGAAAUGCGUAGAGAUGUGGAGGAACACCAGUGGCGAAGGCGGCUUUCUGGUCUGUAACUGACGCUGAGGCGCGAAAGCGUGGGGAGCAAACAGG